rnacentral:rRNA from 1 species
GACGAACGCUGGCGGCGCGCCUAACACAUGCAAGUCGAACGAGCGAGAGAGAGCUUACUUUCUCGAGCGAGUGGCGAACGGGUGAGUAACGCGUGAGGAACCUGCCUCAAAGAGGGGGACAACAGUUGGAAACGACUGCUAAUACCGCAUAAGCCCACGGCUCGGCAUCGAGCAGAGGGAAAAGGAGCAAUCCGCUUUGAGAUGGCCUCGCGUCCGAUUAGCUAGUUGGUGAGGUAACGGCCCACCAAGGCGACGAUCGGUAGCCGGACUGAGAGGUUGAACGGCCACAUUGGGACUGAGACACGGCCCAGACUCCUACGGGAGGCAGCAGUGGGGAAUAUUGCACAAUGGGGGAAACCCUGAUGCAGCGACGCCGCGUGGAGGAAGAAGGUCUUCGGAUUGUAAACUCCUGUUGUUGAGGAAGAUAAUGACGGUACUCAACAAGGAAGUGACGGCUAACUACGUGCCAGCAGCCGCGGUAAAACGUAGGUCACAAGCGUUGUCCGGAAUUACUGGGUGUAAAGGGAGCGCAGGCGGGAAGACAAGUUGGAAGUGAAAUCCAUGGGCUCAACCCAUGAACUGCUUUCAAAACUGUUUUUCUUGAGUAGUGCAGAGGUAGGCGGAAUUCCCGGUGUAGCGGUGGAAUGCGUAGAUAUCGGGAGGAACACCAGUGGCGAAGGCGGCCUACUGGGCACCAACUGACGCUGAGGCUCGAAAGUGUGGGUAGCAAACAGGAUUAGAUACCCUGGUAGUCCACACUGUAAACGAUGAUUACUAGGUGUUGGAGGAUUGACCCCUUCAGUGCCGCAGUUAACACAAUAAGUAAUCCACCUGGGGAGUACGACCGCAAGGUUGAAACUCAAAGGAAUUGACGGGGGCCCGCACAAGCAGUGGAGUAUGUGGUUUAAUUCGACGCAACGCGAAGAACCUUACCAAGUCUUGACAUCCUGCGACGGUGCUGGAAACAGUACUUUCCUUCGGGACGCAGAGACAGGUGGUGCAUGGUUGUCGUCAGCUCGUGUCGUGAGAUGUUGGGUUAAGUCCCGCAACGAGCGCAACCCUUAUGGUCAGUUACUACGCAAGAGGACUCUGGCCAGACUGCCGUUGACAAAACGGAGGAAGGUGGGGAUGACGUCAAAUCAUCAUGCCCUUUAUGACUUGGGCUACACACGUACUACAAUGGCGUUAAACAAAGAGAAGCAAGACCGCGAGGUGGAGCAAAACUCAGAAACAACGUCCCAGUUCGGACUGCAGGCUGCAACUCGCCUGCACGAAGUCGGAAUUGCUAGUAAUCGUGGAUCAGCAUGCCACGGUGAAUACGUUCCCGGGCCU